UGCUUGUCUCAAAGAUGCAUGUGAAGUAUAAAGACUGCGAAUGGCUCAUUAAAUCAGUUAUAGUUUAUUUGAUGGUUGGAUAACCGUGGUAAUUUAGAGAUACAUGCAAAAGGUCCCGACGGUGAUUCAUAGUAACUGCUCGAAUCGCUUGGGCGCCGGCGAUGGUUCAUUCAAGUUUCUGCCCUAUCAACUUUCGAUGGUAGGGUAUUGGCCUACCAUGUUGCAACGGGGACGGAGAAUUAGGGUUCGAUUCCGGAGAGGCUGAGAACGGCUACCACAUCCGGCAGCAGGCGCGCAAUUACCAAUCCCGACWCGGGGAGGUAGUGACRAUAAAUAACAAUGCMGGUCYKGCAAUUGGAAUGAGWCAAUYYAAAUAACGAGAACAAGGGCAAGUCUGGUGCCUUCCAGCUCCAAUAGCGUAUAUUAAAGUUGUUGGAUUUCGGAGGAGCUCAGGUCCGCCUUGGGUGGUGCUUCUCGUGGAGCGUGUGUGCUCUUCAUUGGCACGACUCGGGACUUUUACUUUGAAAAAAUUAGAGUGUUCAAAGCAGGCUGAAUACAUUAGCAUGGAAUAAUGAAAUAGGAUUUUGUUGGUUUUCGGACCAAGGUAAUGACUAAUAGGGACAGUUGGGGGCAUUCGUAUUAAUUGUCAGAGGUGAAUUCUUGGAUUUAUGGAAGACGAACAACUGCGAAAGCAUUUGCCAAGGAUGUUUCAUUAAUCAAGAACGAAAGUUUUCGAAGACGAUCAGAUACCGUCGUAGUUCCAACCAUAAACGAUGCCGACUAGGGAUCGGUGGAUGACUCCAUCGGCACCUUAUGAGAAAUCAAAGUUUUUGGGUUCCGGAGUAUAAUCGCAAGAUCGGAACUUAAAGAAUUGACGGAAGGGCCAGGAGUGGAGCUUAUUUGACUCAACACGGGAAAACUCAGUCCAGACAUAGUAAGGAUUGACAGAUUGAGAGCUCUUUCUUGAUUCUAUGGGUGGUGGUGGGCCGUUCUUAGUGGUGGAGUGAUUUUCUGGUUAAUUCCGUUAACGAACGAGACCUUAACCUGCUAAAUAGUUACUCGAACA
rnacentral:rRNA from 1 species